AUUGAACGCUGGCGGCAUGCCUUACACAUGCAAGUCGAACGGUAACAGGUCUUCGGAUGCUGACGAGUGGCGAACGGGUGAGUAAUACAUCGGAACGUGCCCAGACGUGGGGGAUAACGAGGCGAAAGCUUUGCUAAUACCGCAUACGAUCUAAGGAUGAAAGCAGGGGACCGCAAGGCCUUGUGCGUUUGGAGCGGCCGAUGGCAGAUUAGGUAGUUGGUGGGAUAAAAGCUUACCAAGCCGACGAUCUGUAGCUGGUCUGAGAGGACGACCAGCCACACUGGGACUGAGACACGGCCCAGACUCCUACGGGAGGCAGCAGUGGGGAAUUUUGGACAAUGGGCGAAAGCCUGAUCCAGCAAUGCCGCGUGCAGGAUGAAGGCCUUCGGGUUGUAAACUGCUUUUGUACGGAACGAAAGGGCUCUGGCUAAUACCUGGGGCACAUGACGGUACCGUAAGAAUAAGCACCGGCUAACUACGUG
rnacentral:rRNA from 1 species